UAGGGAAUCUUCCGCAAUGGGCGAAAGCCUGACGGAGCAACGCCGCGUGAGUGAUGAAGGUCUUCGGAUCGUAAAACUCUGUUAUUAGGGAAGAACAAAUGUGUAAGUAACUAUGCACGUCUUGACGGUACCUAAUCAGAAAGCCACGGCUAACUACGUGCCAGCAGCCGCGGUAAUACGUAGGUGGCAAGCGUUAUCCGGAAUUAUUGGGCGUAAAGCGCGCGUAGGCGGUUUUUUAAGUCUGAUGUGAAAGCCCACGGCUCAACCGUGAGGGUCAUUGGAAACUGGAAAACUUGAGUGCAGAAGAGGAAAGUGGAAUUCCAUGUGUAGCGGUAAAAUGCGCAGAGAUAUGGAGGAACACCAGUGGCGAAGGCGACUUUCUGGUCUGUAACUGACGCUGAUGUGCGAAAGCGUGGGGAUCAAACAGG
rnacentral:rRNA from 1 species